CGCACCCAAGACGCCCUGCCCAGCGCCCAGAAGCCAGGCCACACCCCGGAGGGGAAAGGCCCAGCCUGCAAGGAGGCCCAGCCCCUGCGGCGCACCCUCCCCUGGGGUGUCCGAACCACCAGGGGCCUGCGGCUCCUGAAGCAGCCAGGUGUGUGACCUUAAAGAAAUCACUGAACCUCUCUGAGAUCUGAGCAUCAAUGUGAAGGAGGAAAACACCCUGGACAGCUUCCGGAAGGAGAGGUUUCAAUCAGGUGACUCAGAUGUCAGAUGUCAGAGGUUCCUAGGCCUACGAAUCAUCAGAAAAGCCCAGGCUCUGUAAUGAGACAACAGAACAGACUGGAGAAAGGUCCCACUACCCAACAAGAGACUAACCUUUAAGGACUCCAACGUAGCUGAUCAAGCAGCUGGUUCCUGUCCCCACCACUCUCCCAGAGCCCAGCCUCGCAUCUUGGAGCUGCAUGGACCUCAGCGCCACCCUCCCAAGCCCGACCGCAAGGUGACAAGGGGCGAAGGAGCUCCACAGACACACAGGGAGACAGUGGCGUGGGGCAUGACAGUAAGUGUCAUGGGAACAGACCAGCGUGCCCUUUCCCGGAUGGCACGGAGGCCGGGGACGACGCUUCAGAGGGACGUUCAGUGCAGGGGUCCGGCCUGAACAGUGGGGCGUCUGCCCCCAGGCCUGCCACUCCACCGCGGAGGCCAAGCCUGGCCCGGCCACUUGGACAACGAAAACGCUCUCAAACCUGAUUUCACAGCUGAUCUUCGCUCUAAUUGGGAGGACAUGAAGGCAGAGAAAGCACCGAAGUCAGGGCCUGCCGAGCUCAGGGGAGCCAGGAGAGCCAGCAGCCAAGGGGAGUGCUGAGAGAAAGAGCCCCUAAAAUACCAAAGCUCCAAUAAGAUCGCCAAGAACUCAGCCCCUUGAAGAGGCAGCCAUAGCACAGCCCUGGGCCACAGAGGACCUCAUGGGGUCAUACCUGUGUGGAGUCCGUGACAGAGGCCAGCUGCAGGUACUCGGAGUUCCCCCACCCGAAGAGGUUGCCAUCGACCGACACAGCCAGGCA